UAGAAGCAUUGCACCCAGAAACUGAUCAUAUGGCAAUCAAAGAAAGAAGCAUCAGAAGAAAUGGUCUAUUUGAAAAAUACAAUACUGUAAGUCCUAAAUGUGAUCAUAAAUCAGCGUACACUUGCAUUUCAUGUUGCAAUUACAUUCUAUAUUUUCCCUUGCAUGACAACACUUCCAAGUUUCAAUCAUUUCUGGACUCCUUGUGUUCAAACCAUUUCAAAUUCAAACAAAAGACAGACAAACCAGAUACAAACAAGAAUGGUUAGAUAAUAAAAUUUAUUUCCACAAUCUCGAAUUGCAGAAGGAUAAACGCUUUUAUCGCACUAAACAGUUGAUCUUAAGGAAAUGAGCAGAACUACAGAAAAAUGAAUGCCUAAAAAUUUUCUCCAUCUUUCUAUUCAAAUGGACAGUAUCAUAGUACACAUAAUCACAAAGUAAUUCCAUGAUUCUGCAAAGUGAAAAACUAGACCCUUUGGUGUCACACCACAUUUUGAUCAAAUGGUUCUGUUCACCUAAACUUUGUCGUUAAAAAAAGAUUGAAAUUCUUGAAAGAUGAUCAGUUUUUGGCUGGAUUAGCGCUUAAAGUCAAAUGCCACAGGAGGCCAUGCCAUAAUUGCGGCAGGUAUAAUGCACUAAUUUUGGUCAGACAUCUGUUUGGCUGAUAUAGUGAAAUGUAGUUAGAUUUGCUUUGAACAUGUCUAAAAAUUACUUUAUGCACAGUUUUAGAGCCCUAAAUGUCAAACUUCUAGCUUUUUUCUUGUAUAUGCACGUUAUUGAUUAUUAUUUCUGCCUGUUAUCCAAACACUAAUCUUUAUAAACUAUCAAUCUCACUAGUUAUAAUCCCCUAACCCAAUACUCAAAGAAUCUCAUACAAACAACUUGCUUUGCCAAUUUCAUGAAAGAAUAUAACCCCAACCAAAAAUUUAACAUAACCUUGAUUAGGCAGUGUCCUAUAUGGUCCUUGGGAUCAUAUUCCAUGGCCCUGAUCCUUUUUUCAACUUUACGACCGUUGGACGGCCGGUACUACAUUGAAGUGUCUUUCUCCAAUUAGCCAACUCAGGUACCCACUUGCCCCAGUCAAAAGCCAACCCAUGCCGACCCCCAACCCACGUAAAAUCAAACACAAACAGUAUAUAAUAAAUAAUAAAAUACAUAUACAAAAAAAAAAAAA
rnacentral:misc_RNA from 1 species